GACGAACGCUGGCGGCGUGCCUAAUACAUGCAAGUAGAACGCAGUUGCGAACGGGUGAGUAACGCGUAGGUAACUGCCUUAUAGCGGGGGUUAGCUAUUGGAAACGCUAGCUAAUACCGCCUACUGCGAGAUGGACCUGCGUUGUAUUAGGUAUUUGGUUAGGUAAAGGCUCACCAAGGCGACGAUACAUAGCCGACCUGGGAGGGGGGUCGGCCACACCGGGACUGGGACACGGCCCCGGAUCCUUCGGGGAGCAGCAGGAGGGGAUCUUCCGGAAUGGACGGAAAGUUGGCCCAGCAAAGCCGCGGUGGGGGAGAAGGUUUUCGGGUCGGAAAGCUCUGUUGGUAGGGGAGCGGUAACUAACCAGAAAGUGACGGCUAACUACGUGCCAGCAGCCGCGGUAAUAC
rnacentral:rRNA from 1 species